GGCCAUUUACCCCAUGUUUGCACCCUUUAAAAUAAUGUCCUAUCAAAACUCAACACACAAUAAAAUAUAAAUUGAUAUACAAGGGAAUUGACAUACAAGGGAAUUGACAUACAUGUACAAGGUAAUUGACAUACAUGUACAAGGUAAUUGACAUACAAGGGAAUUGACAUACAAUGUAAUUAACAUACAAGGUAAUUGACAUACAAGGCAAUUGACAUACAAGGUAAUUGACAUACAAGGUAAGUGACAUACAGGGUAAUUGACAUACAAGGUAAGUGACAUACACGGUAAUUGGCAUACAAGG